UCCAGGAUGAAGGAAAGCCCCAGGACGAAGAAGAAGAAGAAACAAAAAAAAAUUGAUUCUUCCACCCGUAGAUGGACGAAGGAAGAUCAUAAAUAAAAGACAAAUCCUUCCUUGGGUUGAAGAACCACUAGCCCUUAGCUUUUGGAUGGGAAUGAAGAACCAUAAAAGUAUGAAAAAGAGAAGGCGGAGGGUUGGUCAGGAUCAUGU
rnacentral:lncRNA from 1 species